rnacentral:rRNA from 1 species
UUAAGUGAAUAAGGGCGCACGGUGGAUGCCUUGGCACUAGGAGCCGAUGAAGGACGGGACUAACACCGAUAUGCUUUGGGGAGCUGUACGUAAGCUAUGAUCCAGAGAUUUCCGAAUGGGGGAACCCAACAUCUUUAAUAGGAUGUUACGAUUGUGUGAAUACAUAGCACAUUCGAGGUAGACGCAGAGAACUGAAACAUCUAAGUACCUGCAGGAAGAGAAAGAAAAUUCGAUUCCCUGAGUAGCGGCGAGCGAAACGGGAAAAGCCCAAACCAGCAAGCUUGCUUGUUGGGGUUGUAGGACUCCAAUAUGGUAGUUCUUUCAGAUAGUCGAAUGACUUGGAAAAGUCAGUCAAAGAGGGUAAAAACCCCGUAGACGAAAUGUGGAAGACACCUAGGAGGAUCCUGAGUACGGCGGAACACGAGAAAUUCCGUCGGAAUCCGGGAGGACCAUCUCCCAAGGCUAAAUACUCCCUAGUGACCGAUAGUGAACCAGUACCGUGAGGGAAAGGUGAAAAGCACCCCGGAAGGGGAGUGAAAUAGAACCUGAAACCGUGUGCCUACAACAAGUCAAAGCCCGUUAAUGGGUGAUGGCGUGCCUUUUGUAGAAUGAACCGGCGAGUUACGAUUGCAUGCGAGGUUAAGUUGAAGAGACGGAGCCGCAGCGAAAGCGAGUCUGAAUAGGGCGUUUGAGUAUGUAGUCGUAGACCCGAAACCAUGUGAUCUACCCAUGUCCAGGUUGAAGGUGCGGUAAAACGCACUGGAGGACCGAACCCACGUACGUUGAAAAGUGCGGGGAUGAGGUGUGGGUAGCGGAGAAAUUCCAAACGAACUUGGAGAUAGCUGGUUCUCUCCGAAAUAGCUUUAGGGCUAGCCUCGGAAUUGAGAAUGAUGGAGGUAGAGCACUGUUUGGACUAGGGGCCCAUCUCGGGUUACCGAAUUCAGAUAAACUCCGAAUGCCAUUCAUUCAUAUCCGGGAGUCAGACUGUGAGUGAUAAGAUCCAUAGUCGAAAGGGAAACAGCCCAGACCACCAGCUAAGGUCCCAAAAUAUAUGUUAAGUGGAAAAGGAUGUGGGGUUGCACAGACAACUAGGAUGUUGGCUUAGAAGCAGCCACCAUUUAAAGAGUGCGUAAUAGCUCACUAGUCGAGUGACCCUGCGCCGAAAAUGUACCGGGGCUAAACAUAUUACCGAAGCUGUGGAGUACACCUUUAGGUGUAUUGGUAGGAGAGCGUUCUAAGGGCGUCGAAGGCAGAUCGUGAGGACUGCUGGAGCGCUUAGAAGUGAGAAUGCCGGUAUGAGUAGCGAAAGACAGGUGAGAAUCCUGUCCACCGAAUGACUAAGGUUUCCUGGGGAAGGCUCGUCCGCCCAGGGUUAGUCGGGACCUAAGCCGAGGCCGACAGGCGUAGGCGAUGGAUAACAGGUUGAUAUUCCUGUACCCGUUGUUUUUGUUUGAGCAAUGGAGGGACGCAGGAGGCUAAGGAAUGCAGACGAUCGGAAAUGUCUGUCCAAGCAGUAAGUCUGAAGAGGAGUCAAAUGCUUCUUUUCUUAGGGACAAGCUGUGAUGGGGAGGGAAAUAAUAGUACCGAAGUUCCUGAUGUCACACUGCCGAGAAAAGCUUCUAGUGAGAAAACAGCGGCCCGUACCGCAAACCGACACAGGUAGUCGAGGAGAGAAUCCUAAGGUGAGCGAGAGAACUCUCGUUAAGGAACUCGGCAAAAUGACCCCGUAACUUCGGGAGAAGGGGUGCUGAUCAUACGAUCAGCCGCAGUGAAUAGGCCCAAGCGACUGUUUAUCAAAAACACAGGUCUCUGCAAAAUCGUAAGAUGAAGUAUAGGGGCUGACGCCUGCCCGGUGCUGGAAGGUUAAGAGGAGUGCUUAGCGCAAGCGAAGGUACGAAUUGAAGCCCCAGUAAACGGCGGCCGUAACUAUAACGGUCCUAAGGUAGCGAAAUUCCUUGUCGGGUAAGUUCCGACCCGCACGAAAGGCGUAACGAUUUGGGCACUGUCUCAACGAGAGACUCGGUGAAAUUUUAGUACCUGUGAAGAUGCAGGUUACCCGCGACAGGACGGAAAGACCCCAUGGAGCUUUACUGUAGUUUGAUAUUGAGUGUCUGUACCGCAUGUACAGGAUAGGGAGGAGCCGUAGAAAUCGGAACGCUAGUUUCGAUGGAGGCGCUGGUGGGAUACUACCCCUGCGUUAUGGCCACUCUAACCCGCACCACUAAUCGUGGUGGGAGACAGUGUCAGAUGGGCAGUUUGACUGGGGCGGUCGCCUCCUAAAAGGUAACGGAGGCGCCCAAAGGUUCCCUCAGAAUGGUUGGAAAUCAUUCGAAGAGUGUAAAGGCAGAAGGGAGCUUGACUGCGAGACCAACAAGUCGAGCAGGGACGAAAGUCGGGCUUAGUGAUCCGGUGGUUCCGCAUGGAAGGGCCAUCGCUCAACGGAUAAAAGCUACCCUGGGGAUAACAGGCUUAUCUCCCCCAAGAGUCCACAUCGACGGGGAGGUUUGGCACCUCGAUGUCGGCUCGUCGCAUCCUGGGGCUGUAGUCGGUCCCAAGGGUUGGGCUGUUCGCCCAUUAAAGCGGCACGC